rnacentral:rRNA from 1 species
UACGUAGGGUGCGAGCGUUGUCCGGAAUUAUUGGGCGUAAAGAGCUCGUAGGCGGUUUGUCACGUCUGCUGUGAAAUCCCGAGGCUCAACCUCGGGCCUGCAGUGGGUACGGGCAGACUAGAGUGCGGUAGGGGAGACUGGAAUUCCUGGUGUAGCGGUGAAAUGCGCAGAUAUCAGGAGGAACACCGGUGGCGAAGGCGGGUCUCUGGGCCGUAACUGACGCUGAGGAGCGAAAGCGUGGGGAGCGAACAGG